rnacentral:rRNA from 1 species
GACGAACGCUGGCGGCGUGCUUAACACAUGCAAGUCGAACGAAGUGGCGAACGGGUGAGUAAUACGUGAGUAACCUGCCCUCCUUUUUGGGAUAAGCCUUGGAAACGGGGUCUAAUACCGAAUAAAGGGGGAUGGGCUCGCGGCCUAUCAGCUUGUUGGUGGGGUGAUGUCCUACCAAGGCGGUGACGGGUAGCCGGCCUGAGAGGGUGACAGGCGACAUUGGGACUGAGAUACGGCCCAGACGACUACGGGAGGCAGCAGUUGGGGAUAUGGGACAAUGGGCGAAAGCCUGACGCAGCGAGGACGCGGGGGGGAUGAAGGCUUUCGGGUUGUAAACCUCUUUCGCGAUCGAACGGGUAGGUGAAGAAGAAGCGACGGCUAACUACGUGCCAGCAGCCGCGGUAAUAC